rnacentral:rRNA from 1 species
AGCAGUCGCCGCGGGAAUACGUAGGGCGCAAGCGUUAUCCGGAAUUAUUGGGCGUAAAGAGCUCGUAGGCGGUUUGUCGCGUCUGUCGUGAAAGUCCGGGGCUCAACCCCGGAUCUGCGGUGGGUACGGUCAGACUAGAGUGAUGUAGGGGAGACUGGAAUUCCUGGUGUAGCGGUGAAAUGCGCAGAUAUCAGGAGGAACACCGAUGGCGAAGGCAGGUCUCUGGGCAUUAACUGACGCUGAGGAGCGAAAGCAUGGGGAGCGAACAGGAUUAGAUACCCCCGUAGUCCCUGUCUCUUAUAC